AAGAAGUGUCACGUGAUGGACAGGUAAAUGGACGCUUUUUGUCUGCUCCGUCGAUCUGACUUUAAAAUGGUGAAUUUAUUAAUCGUUAUCAUCAAAAAGAUUUUCAGUAUAUAUUGUGAAAAGGCGAGACAUUGCCUGUGUGAAUAUUAGGAUGUAUUUUGUGUAUAUAUGUUGGAUUUAUCGACGGUUAUCCAUUGAAUUUACUUUUGUUAGCACCUUAAUCGUGAAUACUACUCGAAUGUAAACAAUGCAGGGCCAAGGUGAAUUCUCCAUGAAUAAUUAAGCCGGUUUGUAUUAAAACCGAGAAAUGGAAAACGACUCUUACAAUUACAUUACUGAUUUUGAAUUAUAUGAAGCUAUCAAAGGGAAAAAAGGAGAUUUCAUCCUAUGUAUACAAUUAGACAGAGAUCCUUAAAGGUAUGGAGAGCCGUUCGGAGAUUAUCUUGAACGGAUUCGAAUUACAGAACAUUUCAGUCCAGGUGUACAAUUCGAACCCGUAUUCCACCGUUGGUUAAGAUCCAAAUGACGACGUCUUAAAGAUUACCAUUUGUGGUCUACCACUGUCGGUGGAUGAUAAUGCUGUCAUUGACUCUUUUGAAAAACUCAAUGUUUCUUUGAAAAGUGAAAUGAAAUAUUAGAAAAUUAUGCACCCCGUCCCGUACGACAAGCGUCCUUAACGGGAACAGAUUUUUAUAUGUCCAGCCGCUUCCGAAUAAAUACUCGCUUCCGAGAAUUGUAUACUGCGCCGGUAUAAAGUGCCGCUUAUACCAUUAUGGACUAGAAACCACUUCAUCCCAAGUCCAGUUCUUUAACUGUUGGGGAAUGGGUCAUAGAAAAACCAGCUGCAAAAGGGCAAAAACGUUUAGAGUGUGUCAGAAAAAAGGCCGCGAACCAGGGUCACCUGAUUGCAAACAUCUUGUAUAGCCAUCAGAAACGGUCGUUGCUUUCCAGGGGAAAGACAAUCCUUAUAUAACUUUUACCCUUGUGAAAUCAAAGCCUUUGGAGAAGUUCACCAAUCUUCUGAACAUGCAUAUCAGUUUACAAAAGCGAUAAGAUCGGGAGAUAUGGACGCUGUGCAAAAGAUCAGGGAGUCCGCCACAGCUCUAGAUGCCAAGCGGAUUGGUCACACAGUGAAUGACUUGAGUGAGUUUACAAGAACUUCAAAACACUAGAAAUAGGUAGAGGACUUCAAGAGGUGAGGCAUAUACGAGGAACUUGGAAAUUGAGAGUGUCGUGGAUUGCAAUUGAUUGAGAGAAAUAUUUGGUACUGGCACUGAAAAAAUGUCCAUUGAUAGGUUAUAGUGUAUGUUUCAUGCAGAGUUGAAUAUGUCUGUGUUUUCGUGUAAUUAUAAUGUU
rnacentral:misc_RNA from 1 species